UUAAGCGACUAAGCGUACACGGUGGAUGCCCUGGCAGUCAGAGGCGAUGAAGGACGUGCUAAUCUGCGAAAAGCGUCGGUAAGGUGAUAUGAACCGUUACAGCCGGCGAUGUCCGAAUGGGGAAACCCAGUGCAAUUCGUUGCACUAUCGUUAACUGAAUACAUAGGUUAACGAGGCGAACCGGGGGAACUGAAACAUCUAAGUACCCCGAGGAAAAGAAAUCAACCGAGAUUCCCCCAGUAGCGGCGAGCGAACGGGGAGCAGCCCAGAGUCUGAAUCAGCUUGUGUGUUAGUGGAACGGUCUGGAAAGUCCGACGGUACAGGGUGAUAGUCCCGUACACCAAAAUGCACAGGCUGUGAACUCGAAGAGUAGGGCGGGACACGUGGUAUCCUGUCUGAAUAUGGGGGGACCAUCCUCCAAGGCUAAAUACUCCUGACUGACCGAUAGUGAACCAGUACCGUGAGGGAAAGGCGAAAAGAACCCCGGCGAGGGGAGUGAAAAAGAACCUGAAACCGUGUACGUACAAGCAGUGGGAGCACCUUCGGGUGUGACUGCGUACCUUUUGUAUAAUGGGUCAGCGACUUAUAUUCUGUAGCAAGGUUAACCGUAUAGGGGAGCCGCAGGGAAACCGAGUCUUAACUGGGCGUUAAGUUGCAGGGUAUAGACCCGAAACCCGGUGAUCUAGCCAUGGGCAGGUUGAAGGUUGGGUAACACUAACUGGAGGACCGAACCGACUAAUGUUGAAAAAUUAGCGGAUGACUUGUGGCUGGGGGUGAAAGGCCAAUCAAACCGGGAGAUAGCUGGUUCUCCCCGAAAGCUAUUUAGGUAGCGCCUCGUGAAUUCAUCUUCGGGGGUAGAGCACUGUUUCGGCUAGGGGGUCAUCCCGACUUACCAACCCGAUGCAAACUACGAAUACCGAAGAAUGUUAUCACGGGAGACACACGGCGGGUGCUAACGUCCGUCGUGAAGAGGGAAACAACCCAGACCGCCAGCUAAGGUCCCAAAGUCAUGGUUAAGUGGGAAACGAUGUGGGAAGGCACAGACAGCCAGGAUGUUGGCUUAGAAGCAGCCAUCAUUUAAAGAAAGCGUAAUAGCUCACUGGUCGAGUCGGCCUGCGCGGAAGAUGUAACGGGGCUAAACCAUGCACCGAAGCUGCGGCAGCGACACUAUGUGUUGUUGGGUAGGGGAGCGUUCUGUAAGCCUGCGAAGGUGUGCUGUGAGGCAUGCUGGAGGUAUCAGAAGUGCGAAUGCUGACAUAAGUAACGAUAAAGCGGGUGAAAAGCCCGCUCGCCGGAAGACCAAGGGUUCCUGUCCAACGUUAAUCGGGGCAGGGUGAGUCGACCCCUAAGGCGAGGCCGAAAGGCGUAGUCGAUGGGAAACAGGUUAAUAUUCCUGUACUUGGUGUUACUGCGAAGGGGGGACGGAGAAGGCUAUGUUAGCCGGGCGACGGUUGUCCCGGUUUAAGCAUGUAGGCUGAUUGUCCAGGCAAAUCCGGAUAAUCAAGGCUGAGGUGUGAUGACGAGGCACUACGGUGCUGAAGUAACAAAUGCCCUGCUUCCAGGAAAAGCCUCUAAGCAUCAGGUAACAUCAAAUCGUACCCCAAACCGACACAGGUGGUCAGGUAGAGAAUACCAAGGCGCUUGAGAGAACUCGGGUGAAGGAACUAGGCAAAAUGGUGCCGUAACUUCGGGAGAAGGCACGCUGGUGUGUAGGUGAAGUCCCUGCGGAUGGAGCUGAGACCAGUCGAAGAUACCAGCUGGCUGCAACUGUUUAUUAAAAACACAGCACUGUGCAAACACGAAAGUGGACGUAUACGGUGUGACGCCUGCCCGGUGCCGGAAGGUUAAUUGAUGGGGUUAUCCGUAAGGAGAAGCUCUUGAUCGAAGCCCCGGUAAACGGCGGCCGUAACUAUAACGGUCCUAAGGUAGCGAAAUUCCUUGUCGGGUAAGUUCCGACCUGCACGAAUGGCGUAAUGAUGGCCAGGCUGUCUCCACCCGAGACUCAGUGAAAUUGAACUCGCUGUGAAGAUGCAGUGUACCCGCGGCAAGACGGAAAGACCCCGUGAACCUUUACUAUAGCUUGACACUGAACAUUGAGCCUUGAUGUGUAGGAUAGGUGGGAGGCUUUGAAGCGUGGACGCCAGUCUGCGUGGAGCCAACCUUGAAAUACCACCCUUUAAUGUUUGAUGUUCUAACGUUGGCCCCUGACCGGGGUUGCGGACAGUGUCUGGUGGGUAGUUUGACUGGGGCGGUCUCCUCCCAAAGCGUAACGGAGGAGCACGAAGGUUAGCUAAUCCUGGUCGGACAUCAGGAGGUUAGUGCAAUGGCAUAAGCUAGCUUGACUGCGAGCGUGACGGCGCGAGCAGGUGCGAAAGCAGGUCAUAGUGAUCCGGUGGUUCUGAAUGGAAGGGCCAUCGCUCAACGGAUAAAAGGUACUCCGGGGAUAACAGGCUGAUACCGCCCAAGAGUUCAUAUCGACGGCGGUGUUUGGCACCUCGAUGUCGGCUCAUCACAUCCUGGGGCUGAAGUAGGUCCCAAGGGUAUGGCUGUUCGCCAUUUAAAGUGGUACGCGAGCUGGGUUUAGAACGUCGUGAGACAGUUCGGUCCCUAUCUGCCGUGGGCGCUGGAGAAUUGAGGGGGGCUGCUCCUAGUACGAGAGGACCGGAGUGGACGCAUCACUGGUGUUCGGGUUGUCAUGCCAAUGGCACUGCCCGGUAGCUAAAUGCGGAAGAGAUAAGUGCUGAAAGCAUCUAAGCACGAAACUUGCCCCGAGAUGAGUUCUCCCUGAGACUUUAAGUCUCCUGAAGGAACGUUAAAGACGAUGACGUUGAUAGGCCGGGUGUGUAAGCGCAGCGAUGCGUUGAGCUAACCGGUACUAAUGAACCGUGAGGCUUAACCUU
rnacentral:rRNA from 1 species